AUCUUUACCCAGUGGCAAUAUCGUAGCCAGUGAGGUUUAUCCAAGGCGUGAUUAUUGCUAAUGAAAAUAACAGAAUCUCUCUGGCCAAGAUGGAGGUAUAGGCAGAUACACUUUGCUUCCUUGCACAACCAAAAGAAGG